rnacentral:rRNA from 1 species
UAACUGAAGAGUUUGAUCAUGGCUCAGAUUGAACGCUGGCGGCAGGCUUAACACAUGCAAGUCGAGCGGGGGAAGGUAGCUUGCUACCGGACCUAGCGGCGGACGGGUGAGUAAUGCUUAGGAAUCUGCCUAUUAGUGGGGGACAACAUCUCGAAAGGGAUGCUAAUACCGCAUACGUCCUACGGGAGAAAGCAGGGGAUCUUCGGACCUUGCGCUAAUAGAUGAGCCUAAGUCGGAUU